GGCCAGAUGCCCGAGUUGGUCCAAGGGGCCAGACUCAAGUUCUGGUGUGGAAACACGCGUGGGUUCGAACCCCACUCUGGCCA
rfam:Acanthamoeba castellanii str. Neff unplaced genomic scaffold scf7180000084746, whole genome shotgun sequence.